GGGUAUAGUAUGCAUUCGCUGAUGUUGAAGCCCAUGGCGGAGGAGGAUACUCAUACGGGCUCUGAGGUCUAGUUUGCGGUUGCGAAUAGCCCUGUUGUGGUUGAGGCUGUUGCGACUGAGGUUGAGAAUAGCCCUGCUGUGUUUGAGGCUGUUGCGGUUGCGAAUAGCCCUGUUGUGGUUGAGGCUGUUGCGACUGAGCUUGAGAAUAGCCCUGCUGUGUUUGAGGUUGAGAGUAGCCCUGCUCUGUAUGAGGCUGUUGCGGUUGCUGUUGCUGUGCCCAUGGAGCGACAUAGCUAUCAAACUGUGGCAAAGCCUGUGGAUAGGUAUGGGUGUUUUGAUUUGAG
rnacentral:lncRNA from 1 species